CGUCGGCGCACCACUCUCCUUGUUUGGGGCCUUCUCUGUCCUUCCUUUCUGUGCUGCGCUUCUCGCUAUUCGCACACGAGGUCUGCUUCUUAAAAGCUUGCGCCGUAUCUGCUCGCCUUUGCCCUUUGCCUGCGCAACAGGGCACCUGCCAGGCAGCCAACGCAUACCCACUAACGCAUAGCCCGACGUGCACGCGUCCACGAUGGAGGCGCUGAGAGUAUGCUUCCAGAUUGCGCUCGUUAUCGCACCUCAUAUUGGAUACUGCGCGCAGCAUGCGGAAAUUCACCGCACCCAGUCGAUUGAAGGCUACUCCCCCGUGGUCUCCCUAAUCCUGUUGACGAGCAACACACUGCGCAUCUACUAUUAUAUUGGCCACCACUUUCUUUUAGCCCUCCUCCUUCAGGCUAUCCUCGGCGUUGCUGUGCACGGGGUACUGCUGUGCAAGGUGCUGGAAGUGCACGUGCAGCAGCUGCUGGACGCCCGGGUCACGGACAUAUACGACGAGGACAGCGCCGCCGUUAUCGAGACUGCGGCAGCAGGGACUCCAACAGUGGCACCGUCGUCUUCUGCGGCCGGCUCUGGCGGAGCGGCGGAAAAGCAAAACCAGGCAUUCGGCGAUAGAGACGACACGGCCCCUUCACCAAAUACCGCCGCAGCGCCUGCUGCGGAGUGGCCGGCCUCGUCUAGCGCGGCGCACAACGGGUACGAGGGCUCGGGCGACGUGCCGCCAUCGCUUGCCCCAUCGGCUGGCAUCGGGUGUGUGACUUCCAAGUUUCUGCAGGUCCUCUUCCGCAUUGAGGACUGUAUCGAAGCCAGCUUGCUUCGGAACACUCCGCCUCAGUUCGUCUACAACUACGCCAUCGCUGCUACCGCUGCGCUGGUGGUGGCGCUGCUCUACUAUGUCUCCAUUGGCCGCGUCUGGAAGAACGCGGCCGAGGUGGUAGGGUAUACGGCGCUCGGCAUCGAGGCCCUACUCGUGCUCCCGCAGAUUCUCCGCAACGCACGGCGGCGCAGCACCGAGGGCCUUACCAUGCUGCUCAUCCUCACGUGGGUGGGCGGUGAUGUUAUCAAAGUGAUUUACUUUAUCUAUGCAAAACAGGCACUGCCCUUUAUUGUGUGCGGCUGCUUCCAGGUCUUCCUGGACAUUGUGGUGGUGGCGCAGCUUGUGUACUACCGCUUGAUUGUGAAGCGGGAGAGCGAGGUGCUCAUAGAGGGCGACGACGGCGCUGGUGGGCAAUACCGCGACGGUGCCGUGCCCGCGGUGGACCCGCUUGAGUCGCAAAAUAUGCCCAGUCUAAGGGUUCUGUAGGGAGCAGAAGACAAGAACGGAGGAGGUGAGGAGGGUGCGAGGUGGCUCUGUGGCACAUGGACAUCGAGUGGCACGCUUGCUGAGCGAGCAAGGCAGCAAUCUCUCCCUCCCUCCCUCUCUCUCUCAGCUCUUCGGCGUGCGCAGCGGCGACGAUCUCACUCGCGCGUGUCUCUCCUUCACUUUCACUCAGGCACUGACUGCGUCACACACACAUAUACACACCAGCGCAUAACUGUGCUGGUGCACGUCUUUCCCGAGGAUCGAUUUAUUCCUUUCGCUUUCCAUUUGGUGCGCGUCUUUGUGGUACGCUGCAGUGCGUGUCCGUCGUUUCCCUGUUCCUUUUUUUUGUUGCUGCCUCAUUUGCUCCCCAUCCCCCUUCAUACACAAACAGACACGCACUGUGACACGGGCAGACCCAGCCGCAAAUACAGUGACACUCCCCUCUGCGUGCUCUGCCAGUUUUGUCGCCCUCUUGCUGACCCCGCAUCCCCCCCGGACUGCUUCAUAUAUAUAUAUAUAUAUCUAUGCCUACGCAUGUGUUUUCGCUUGGAUACCUUUUGUUUUUCUGGUUCCUUUUCCGCUGCCUCGUCAGCGACUGUGUGUGUGCCCCCUCCGCGUCUGUGCCUGUAUCUCUCUCCCUCUCUCUGUAUUUGCUCUUAUUGCUUCUCUGCCUUUUUUUGCUUCCGUUCAUUCUGUUUUUUUUUUUUUGUAUUUCGUCUAUGCGCCACGACUAC
rnacentral:misc_RNA from 1 species